rnacentral:rRNA from 1 species
GAUGAACGCUGGCGGCGUGCCUAAUACAUGCAAGUCGAGCGAACAGACGAGGAGCUUGCUCCUCUGACGUUAGCGGCGGACGGGUGAGUAACACGUGGAUAACCUACCUAUAAGACUGGGAUAACUUCGGGAAACCGGAGCUAAUACCGGAUAAUAUAUUGAACCGCAUGGUUCAAUAGUGAAAGACGGUUUUGCUGUCACUUAUAGAUGGAUCCGCGCCGCAUUAGCUAGUUGGUAAGGUAACGGCUUACCAAGGCAACGAUGCGUAGCCGACCUGAGAGGGUGAUCGGCCACACUGGAACUGAGACACGGUCCAGACUCCUACGGGAGGCAGCAGUAGGGAAUCUUCCGCAAUGGGCGAAAGCUUGACGGAGCAACGCCGCGUGAGUGAUGAAGGUCUUCGGAUCGUAAAACUCUGUUAUUAGGGAAGAACAAAUGUGUAGUAACUAUGCACGUCUUGACGGUACCUAAUCAGAAAGCCACGGCUAACUACGUG